rnacentral:lncRNA from 1 species
ACAUCGAGAGGGUAAGCGACCACGCUUAGUGAGUUCAAUAAUAGAUACAAUAUAGCGUUAUGCCAUAUAUAUACUCUAAUAGGGCAGAAGCAAAGAGGAACAAGGAACAACAAGGGCAUAUGUGAAUCAUGUGACAAACAUUCCAUAUCAAUCAUUGAUUUGAUUUAAAGAUAUACAAUCAAUGAGACAUAACAAUUUCCAUGCUUGAUAUACAUCAAUAAAGCUUUGGCCCAAACAACACAGAAGAUAUACAACUUUGGAUUAACCUUUCGGUAGAUUUCAGGCUUAUAGCCCUAUCUAACCUUCUGCCACUACCAUAGAAUAGAAUUCAUUCUCUUACGGAGACAUGUUCCACAUGGCCAGAGGCUACAUACCAGUACCAACGUGAAUCUAAGUCCUUUCACUGAUCACAUGGUCAAAGGUAUUUCUUUGCUAUUAAAAAUAGCAAUUAAAAAUAACCCGGGAAAAUAACCCGGAAUAAUAACACUGAAAAGCACGUAGCACAUAUAACACAUAACAUACAAUUAUUUCUAUAUAUUAAACUCACCGUGAAAUAACCGGGGGCUAAAAUAUUAAUUUGGGCAGUACUUCGGCUCUAAAUAUGACUUUCGUCGUUGAAAACCGGGAGUUUUCUUGAAAACCGGGCUCUGCGAAGGUAGAGCUUCGAAACCGAAAAGAUAAAUUUUCGGGGAUUCUCGGGAGUCUCGGGGGGUGUCUCGGGCUUUAGAAUCAGUACCGGGGCUUUGGGGGAUGUCGGGAUCGUAAAAAUAUUGAAAGAGGGGGUGAAAAUGCCAAAUUUCUAAAACUAGCCGAGAGGGCUCGCACCCCUUAUAUAGGGCUGAGCUUCGGAUCCGAAGCGAAGGGAAGGAGACAGGCGGCUGCGAGGUUCGGACCAGAUGGCAGCUUCGCAGGGCUCCAGCGAGGCUCGGAUGCGAGGAGUCAUCAGCUUCAGGCGCGUCAUCGGCUGGGUCUUCGGCUCGGUCUUCAGCUCGGACAGCAGGUGGCUCGCAGGUGGGUUGCGCAUGCGAGGGUGAUCAAUGCGAGGCGCGUCGGAUAGCCAUUGGACCGCACCCUCAGUCGAAUCAGCAUGCGACACGCGAGUAGGGCACGAGGCAGGCAUACGAGAACCACGUGACGACUUCGGACUCCUAUGCGACACGCGUCGCUUCUCGGGCAUUGCCACANCAACACGCAAGGCUGCGGUCCAAUCAGAAGCGAACAUCUGUCCGGCACGUGGAAGCCUCGCAUACGAGGGUGACGUGGCAUUUCACUAUUCAUACGAAUUUUCUCGAAAAAUGUGAAAAAACUUCUAAAAUCCAUAACUUUCGCAUACGAGCUCCGUUUUUGACGUUCUUUAUAUGCACGCAAAGCUAGAAUUAUGCUCUACAACUUUCGUUUAGACUUCGACGGCUAAUUUUGACUUUAAUUUUAAUAUUAUUAUUUUUGACAGACCGGGACAGGAAAAUCCGUUAAAAAUUCAUAACUUCUUCAUUCGACGUCCGUUUUCGUCAGACUUUUUACCGUUGCACUACUAAUGACGAGACCUUCAAUUCUCGUUUAGGUUGUGUCGGCUAAAAAUCACUCGAUCUAAAAUUCGAGUUUUUAGUUGUCUACUGCUAAGCUGAAACUUCGAAAAAUCAUAACUUCCUCAUACGAAGUCAGAUUCAAACGGUCUUUAUAUGAAAGUUGAUUAUUUUCACGAGUUCUACAACUUUCAUUUACAUCACUAAGGCUAAAAAUUAGUUUAUCGAAAACUAAAUUUUUACGCGACAAAGUAUUUUCCGGAUUUAUCACGGAACUUCGUUUGGUCAUAACUUCUUCGUUAUAACUCGGAUUUCGAUGAGGUUUUCGCCUAAAUGUUUCUAACGAGAUUAUCUAUAACUUUCAAUAAUAAAAUUUUACUUAUUCCAGAUUUUAUAUUUUCGCUAUAUUUCACUAUUUGGCUUUUAAUUGGAAUCUCAUAAGACUUCCAAUACUUUCUGAAUGAUUCUAAGCAUAGUUUUACUUCAAUUCUAGUAAAAACUAUCUGUUAGAACUCAACAUUCAAAUUCACAUAAUAUUUCAUAAUAUUAUUUACUUAAAACACGAUUUCAAAACGUGUAUGUUACAAAUACCUCCUCCUUUUGAGGAUUUCGUCCCCGAAAUUACAUCGAUUAAAAUAAAUGGGGAUAUUUUGCUCUUAUCUCAUUCUUAUUUUCCCAAGUAUAAUUUGGGCCUCGAUGGUGUUUCCACUUGACAAGCACCAACUCCACUUCUUUAUUACGUAGAUUAGUUGUUCUUUCAUUCACGAUCUCUUCCGGCUCUUCUACAUAUCUUAACUUAUUAUCCAAUUUCACUUCAGAUAAUGGAACUGUCUCAUCAUUGAUGCUCAAGCAUUUGCGCAGAUAGCUCACAUGAAACACAUCAUGAAUACCUGCCAAAUCUUCAGGUAAUUCUAAGCGGUAUGCUUGCUUUCCAAUUCUCUGGAUGAUUUUGAAAGGACCAACAAAUCUAGGACUUAACUUUCCUUUCUUCCCAAAUCUCAUAAGGCCUUUCCAUGGAGAUACCUUCAGCAUCACGAAAUCACCCACUUGGAAUUCUAUGGGUCGUCUUCUCUUUUCUGUAUAGGACUUCUGUCGAUCCUGGGCCGCUUUCAUUCUUUCUCGUACGAUUUGAAUUUUGUCGGUGGUGUCUUGAAUCAUUUCAGGGCCUCCAAGGAUCUUCUGUCCUAUGUCUCGCCAACAUAAUGGAGUACGACACUUGCGACCAUAUAAUGCUUCGUAUGGUGGCAUUUUGAUUGAAGCGUGGUAACUAUUAUUAUACGAGAAUUCGACAAGAGGUAAGUAUUUAUCCCAGUUACCACCGAACUCCAAGACACAUGCACGAAGCAUAUCUUCUACUGUUUGGAUUGUUCUCUCCGUUUGACCAUCUGUCUGGGGAUGAUAUGCUGUGCUGAGAGCAACUCGAGAUCCUAAUUCACGUUGCAUACUCGCCCAAAAGUGAGAAGUGAAGCGAGUAUCACGAUCGGAGAUGAUCUUUAGUGGCACACCAUGUCUUGCCACAAUUUCAUCCAAGUAUACUUGUGCGUAUUUCUCCAUUGGUGCCGUUUCACGCAUGGCAAGAAAAUGAGCGCUUUUAGUCAGGCGGUCGACGAUUACCCAAAUGCUAUCAUGUUGUCUAGCAGUCUUUGGCAAUUUGGUAAUGAAAUCCAUGGACAAUUCUUCCCAUUUCCAUACAGGAACACUAAGACUUUCUGGGGUUCCAUAAGGCUUUUGGUGCUCUGCUUUGACUUGUAAGCAUACUAAGCAUUCCUGUACAUAUCUUCCAAUGUCUCUCUUUAAUCCAGGCCACCAAUAAUCAGCUCUUACAUCAUAGUACAUUUUACUUGUACCAGGAUGGAUUGACAGUUUAGAUUUAUGGGCUUCAUCUAAAAUCUUCUGUCUCAAUCCACCGAUCUUUGGAAUCCACAGCCGAUUCUUGAAUACUUUUAAUCCUCGCGGAUCAUCAAGUAGAGCAUCAUUAUAAUGUAUCAUCCCUUCUUUCUUCACAUUUUCUGGCUUUAGGGCCUCUUCUUGCCAUUUCUCUAAUUCAUCUAAAAUAGUGAAUUUUACUGUAGUAUGAGUAAUGGCAUAACACAUACUAUUGCGAUAAACUUUUCUGCUAAGUGCAUCAGCAACCACGUUAGCUUUUCCAGGAUGAUAUAGGAUUUCACAAUCAUAAUCUUUGAUCAGCUCCAUGGCUCGUUGUUGUCUCAUAUUCAAAGUUUGCUGACUGAAUAUGUACUUGAGACUUUUGUGGUCGGUAAAUAAUUGGCACUUUGUACCAAAAAGAUAAUGCCUCCAAAGUUUUAGGGCAAAUACCACUGCAGCGAGUUCGAGAUCAUGAGUGGGAUAAUUCUUUUCAUAAUCUUUCAGUUGUCUUGAGGCAUAGGCUAUCACUUUGCCACGUUGCAUCAACACACAACCAAGUCCCAAUCUUGAAGCAUCGCUAUAUACGGAGAAAUCAUCAUCACCUUCUGGGAGUGAUAAGAUUGGAGCAUGAGUCAAAAGAUCUUUUAGAGUUGAGAAAGCUCUUUCUUGGGUUUCACCCCAUUCGAACUUCACUUCUUUCCGUGUAAGACUCGUGAGAGGUACGGCUAUACGAGAAAAGUAUUUAAUGAAUCUCCGGUAAUAUCCCGCGAGACCUAAGAAACUACGAAUUUCGGACGCAUUACGGGGGCACUUCCCAAUUUUGAAUGACAUCGAUUUUGAUAGGAUCUACGGAUACACCAUCAUUAGAAAUAACAUGGCCGAGAAAUUGAACUUGGCGAAGCCAAAAUUCACAUUUCGAGAAUUUAGCAUAUAGUUUCUCCUUUCGAAGAAGUUCCAAUACCGCACGAAUAUGAAUGGCAUGAUCAGCUUCAGACUUGGAAUAGAUUAGAAUAUCAUCAAUGAAUACGAUGACUGAUUUAUCGAGCAUUGGGCGGCAUACCCGAUUCAUCAUAUCCAUGAAUACAGCCGGAGCGUUUGUUAAACCAAACGGCAUAACAAGGAAUUCAUAAUGUCCAUAUCGAGUACGAAAAGCAGUCUUCGGUACAUCUUGCUCGUGAACUUUCAACUGAUGAUAGCCAGAUCUUAAAUCAAUUUUUGAGAAAUAGCUAACACCCUGAAGUUGAUCGAACAAAUCGUCGAUGCGAGGUAGUGGGUACUUGUUCUUGAUAGUCACCUUAUUCAGCUCACGAUAAUCAAUGCACAUCCGCAUCGAUCCAUCUUUCUUCUUGACAAAUAGUACCGGAGCACCCCAGGGAGAGGUACUCGGUCGAAUAAAACCCUUGUCAAGUAGUUCUUGCAGUUGGAUCAUCAUUUCUUUCAUCUCAGCUGGCGCAAGACGAUAAGGAGUCUUUGCAAUUGGAGCAGCACCAGGCACAAGGUCAAUUCGGAAUUCUACUUGCCUAUCCGGAGGAAGGCCAGGCAAGUCGUCAGGGAAAACGUCAGGAUAUUCGUUAACAACGGGAACAUCAUUUACAGUUUUCUUCUCCUCUUUUGAGACAUCAACUGUGUAUGCUAGAUAGAUAGAACAUCCUUUCGAUAUGAAUUUACGAGCUUUAAGGAAAGAGAUUAUUUUUAAGAGUCUUUGUUCACCGUAGACAUAGAUAGGAUUCUCCCCUUCAAUAGGAAUGCGUACUAUCUUUUCAUAGCACAAGAGUUCAGCGUGGUUCUUUGAUAACCAAUCCAUGCCGAGAAUAAUAUCAAAGUUGGGCAAGGAGAUAGGGAUCAGGUUAGCGAGAAAAGUAUAGCCUUCAAUUUCUAUAACACAAUCCCUAUAGACUUUAUCAGCAAGUAAUGAUAUACUUCCCGCAGUAUCUACGUGAAAUGGUUGCGCGAGUACAAAGCAAGCAAUUUGAAAGGAAUGCGCAAAUUCGUAAGACACAAAAGAAUCUGAGGCACCAGAAUCAAAUAAGAUGUGAGCAGGUCUAGAGUUGACAAGAAAUGUACCCGUCACAACAUUCGGGUCCUCGCGUGCCUCCUCUGAGGUAAUCUGGAAUGCACGACCCCUAGCUUUCGGCACCUCCUCCUUUUUAGUUGGAGUACCCUUUGAUUGUUGAACAGGGACUUGGCUUCUCGCCGGUUGUUGAACAGAAGCUUGACUUCCCGUCAUCUGACUAGUAAGAGUAGGGCAAAAACGCUUCUUGUGGCCAGUAAUACCACAUGCAUAGCAAGUAACAUCCUUUCUUGGGCAAGCUGGCUUUAUAUGACCCUUUUCUCCGCAUCCAUAACAGACAAUGGAUUCCUUGUCUAUUUUGCAUUGGCCCGGAUGAUUCCUUCCACAAAUACGACAUGAAGGCGAUUGCAUAGAAAAAGAUUGUGAUCUACCGCGUCCACGAGAGGCACUUUGAGUUUGAACUUGAUUACCAGGAUCAGUCCGAACGGAUUGAGCUGGUAGAAAAGAAGGAACAGUUCUUUCAGUACGUGGUUGCUUCGGAGCAGUAAUAGUGGCACCACGUAUUUCUAAGUCAUGCUCACGUCUUCGAGCAUAUUCAACGGCUUUAUCGAAUGACAGAACUUCUCGAUUGGCAACGAAAUCGUGGAUCUCAUGUCGUAGUCCCUCCAUGAAUAACUGAAUUUUCUCGUCUUCAGUUGGAAUAUACUUUGUAGCAAACCUUGCUCUUUGAUUAAACUGAGUUUCAUACUCAUUCACAGUCAUUCCUCCUUGUUUAAGCUCGAGGAAUUCCUUCUCCAAUCUCCUCCUCAUGUCUAGAGGACAAUACUUCUCUAGCAAACGAGUUUUAAACAUUUCCCAGGCUAAAUUCUCCUGGUCAAACCCGUUGAGAGCUUCAUAUGUUGCUUCCCACCAGACCAAGGCUUCUCCGAUGAGCAUUGCGGAAGCAUAGUUAGCCUUGUCUUCAUUAUCCACAUGAGAAAUACGAAACACUUUCUCUGUGUUCUGGAUCCAAGUAAGAACAAUAAUGGGAUUGAGAACACCGGAAAACUCUGUAGCACCACUACUCUUGAAAUCUUUGAACGAGGGACGCUUCACCUCUCCUUUUGAAGAUUCUCCAGUGGCUUUCUCUUUUCCCUUAUCACCAUUCUUUUUGUGUUCUUCGAGAGUCUGUCGAAUAACACCGGUAAGUUUACCCAAGAGUCGCUCCUCACGAGGAGAUACUGGAGUAUUCACUUCCUCGGGUUGAGGACCUCCACCAACCUCAGGGGUAUGGCUACUAACCUGUUCAGCCAUUGCUCUGCAAUACGGAGUAACAUUGUAUUUUAGAAUAUUAGGGUUUAUUAUUACCUAAUACUUUUACUUAUAUAUUUCCUAUGGUUUGUAUCCCUAUACUUAUAAUGAUUUAGUUCAUAUAUUGAACUUCCAAUAGUUUAAGUCUAAAUACCAAUCCGUGGAAUUUAGUUCACUCAAACUACUGCUCUGAUACCAUGAUUGAAAGACCCUAACUUUCGUAUUUAUGAAAGACCCAAACUUUCAUACUCGACAAUAUAGUUACUCCAAAACAUGCUACUUGCAUAUUCAUAAAAACAAUAUUUUACAUUGAUAAAGAGAUUACAAACUACUGGAUACAAACCGACUAUUUUAAAGUGUUAUAUAUUACAUAACUUCCCAGGAUUCUAUAGUUUUAUACAUAUGGGAGUGCAAAAUACAAUAGUUUCAAACUAUUCAUAAGCUUCCAUCGAUACAAUAGUUUCAAACUAUUCAAAAAUCUUCUACCAGUAUAUAACUAUACUGGAUGUUUAUCUCCUGCAAUUUGUUAAACAUCGAGAGGGUAAGCGGACACGCUUAGUGAGUUCAAUAAUAGAUACAAUAUAACGUUAUGCCAUAUAUAUACUUUAAUAGGGCAGAAGCAAAGAGGAACAAGGAACAACAAGGGCAUAUGUGAAUCAUGUGACAAACAUUCCAUAUCAAUCAUUGAUUUGAUUUAAAGAUAUACAAUCAAUGAGACAUAACAAUUUCCGUGCUUGAUAUACAUCAAUAAAGCUUUGGCCCAAACGGCACAGAAGAUAUACAACUUCGGAUUAACAUUUCGGUAGAUUUCAGGCUUAUAGCCCUAUCUAACCUUCUGCCACUACCAUAGAAUAGAAUUCAUUCUCUUACGGAGACAUGUUCCACAUGGCCAGAGGCUACAUACCAGUACCAACGUGAAUCUAAGUCCUUUCACUGAUCACAUGGUCAAAGGUAUUUCUUUGCUAUUAAAAAUAGCAAUUAAAAAUAACCCGGAAUAAUAACACUGAAAAGCACGUAGCACAUAUAACACAUAACAUACAAUUAUUUCUAUAUAUUAAACUCACCGUGAAAUAACCGGGGGCUAAAAUAUUAUUUUGGGCAGUACUUCGGCUCUAAAUAUG